AACUCUAAGCGGUGGAUCACUCGGCUCAUGGGUCGAUGGAGAACGCAGCAAGCUGUGCGUCAUGUGCGUGUGUCUGCAACGAUUAUCGCAGACCAUGCUGUUAUGUACUUUUAUUAAUUUUAAAGUGAUGCUUGGACUACCAUAUGGUUGAGGGUUG
rnacentral:rRNA from 1 species